rnacentral:rRNA from 1 species
CCUACGUGAGGCAGCAGUAGGGAAUAUUGCUCAAUGUGGGAAACCCUGCAGCCGCAACGCCGCGUGGAGGCUGACUGUUUUCGGAUUGUACACUCCUUUUGUUAGAGAAGAUAAUGACGGUAUCUCACGAAUAAGCCCCGGCUAACUCCGUUCCAGCAGCCGCGGUAAUACGGAGGGUGCAAGCGUUACUCGGAAUCACUGGGCGGAAAGAGCGCGUAGGCGGGAUAGCAAGUCAGAUGUGAAAUCCUAUGGUUUAACCAUAGAACUGCAUUUGAAACUGUUAUUCUAGAGGAUGGGAGAGGUAGGUGGAAGUCUUGGUGGAGGGGGAAAAUCCGUAGAGAGCAAGAGGAAUACUCAGUGCGAAGGCGACCUGCUAGAACAUAACUGACGCUGAUGCGCGAAAGCGUGGGGAGCAAACAGGAUUAGAUACCCGGGUAGUC